UGGGGAAUUUUGGACAAUGGGCGCAAGCCUGAUCCAGCCAUGCCGCGUGCGGGAAGAAGGCCUUCGGGUUGUAAACCGCUUUUGUCAGGGAAGAAAUCUUCUGAGUUAAUACCUCGGGAGGAUGACGGUACCUGAAGAAUAAGCACCGGCUAACUACGUGCCAGCAGCCGCGGUAAUACGUAGGGUGCAAGCGUUAAUCGGAAUUACUGGGCGUAAAGCGUGCGCAGGCGGUUUUGUAAGACAGAGGUGAAAUCCCCGGGCUCAACCUGGGAACUGCCUUUGUGACUGCAAGGCUUGAGUGCGGCAGAGGGGGGAUGGAAUUCCGCGUGUAGCAGUGAAAUGCGUAGAUAUGCGGAGGAACACCGAUGGCGAAGGCAAUCCCCUGGGCCUGCACUGACGCUCAUGC
rnacentral:rRNA from 1 species